UACGUAGGGGGCUAGCGUUGUCCGGAUUUAUUGGGCGUAAAGAGCGUGUAGGCGGCCAUGUAGGUCCGGUGUGAAAACUCGAGGCUCAACCUCGAGACGUCGGUUGAAACCACCUGGCUAGAGUCCGGAAGAGGAGAGUGGAAUUCCUGGUGUAGCGGUGAAAUGCGCAGAUAUCAGGAGGAACACCAAUGGCGAAGGCAGCUCGCUGGGACGGUACUGACGCUGAGACGCGAAAGCGUGGGGAGCAAACAGG
rnacentral:rRNA from 1 species